UAUAUAUAAUUGACAGUUUUUUUUUGUCAAUUAGAUAAUUGACAGUUUUUUUCUACUGUUGAGUUGUAACAGCUCAUUAUUUGGUUAUUGUGAUUUCUACAGGCGAAUAGGUACGCAGUUUCGUAACUUUGUUGUUUUUGCGGUUAGUUUUUGAGAAAAAAAUGAACAUCUACGAAAGGAGCUCUGAGCCUGGCAAUCCGGUGGGUAACUUUUGCCUUAAAUCAUUUUUUUAUACAAUCUCUAAUCAAUUCUUAUAUUGGGAUAUGUUGUAUUUUUGUAGCUUACGAAUGAAUCUACUGACAGCUUGGUGAAAAAAUACUUUACCUUUGGAUUCCAACAGAAAGAAAUUCUUGCUUUUUUGCAAUUACUUCACGGUGUAAGCAUAUCCCCCAGAACGUUACGACGAGUAUUAUCAAGACUGCGUCUGUACAGGAGAAAGAACUAUUCUCCUAUACAAAAUAUUGUUAACUUCAUUGAAAUGGAAAUCCAAAAAUCGGGACAACUUCAUGGGUAUAAAUGGAUGCAUUUAAGAUGCUUACAAAAUAAUUUAAUAUGUGACACAAGAUGUUGUACGUCACUUAUUACGUUUACUAGAUCCCCAAGGAGUUGAAAUACGGAAAAGGAAAAGACUUCGCCGCAGACAAUAUUUGAAUAAGGGCCCCAAUUUUUUAUGGCAUGUAGAUUCGUACGACUAAGCUAAGCCGUAUGGAAUAUGCAUAAAUGGAUGUAUAGACGGAUUUUCCAGGCAUAUUAUUUGGUUAAGAGUAGGUUCAACUUCUAGUGAUCCGAAGGUAAUAGGUGGUUACUAUCUAGACGUAGUAAAAGAAAUAGGUGGUUGUCCCCUAACGGUCAGGUGUGACAUGGGAAAUGAAAACAAAACCUUAGAACACCUGCAAAGUUACCCUAAACGAAGUGUUUAAAGACGGGACCUGCAGAAGACCUCCAUUUAUUGUGGGUAAAAGCACUCAUAAUCAGAGGAUUGAAGCUUGGUGGGGUGUCCUACGCAAACACAGUGCGCAAUUUUGGAUGAACUUAUUUCAGACACUCAAAGAGGAUAAUUUAUUUGACGGUUCCUUUCUUGAUAAGUCUCUAAUCCAAUUUUGUUUUGCCAAUCUUAUUCAGAGGGAUAUGGAUCAAGUUAUUUUGGAAUGGAACGUUCACAGAAUAAGCAGAUCACGAAACAGCAUCUCGCCCACUGGAAAACCAGCCAUUAUGUUUGAAAUGCCCUCUUUGUACAAUGCAGAUAAUUAUCUCAUACCUGUACCGUCCUUUGCCACAGACGAAAUGUCUAUUCAUUGUGCUUAUAACUCAUAUCCUUGCGAUAAAGAUUUCUACGACCUGUGCAAUAUAUUGAUAAGUGAAAACAUAUGUACUCAAUUGUAGUAGAUCCUUACGCUGCUGUGAACCUUUAUACAAAUUUGAGACAUGAUCUGCUGGAUAUAUUUGCUAAUUAAGUAUAUACUGUAUUUUUUAUAAACUAUUAUACGUAGAUUA